rnacentral:lncRNA from 12 species
UAAGACCAAGCCCAUUGUUUUAUUCAGAUUAUUUGUACAUUACAGCAAGUUUGGGGGUGGAACGAAGGAGCCACAAGGAAGCCACAAAUGCAUGGGGGAAAGAGGUGGCCUGGCAGGGACACGGCUCGGAACCGAGAAAGCUGCUCCGGGCCCGGGAGGAUGUGCACACCCCCGCGCACACUCACAGGUAUAUGGGCACAGGGCACACUCACAGCGCGCUCACGUGUGCUCCCACGCUCACCGGUGCACACUCGUGGCAGGUCUCGGGGCGGAGAGCGGCACGGGCUGGGGGACGAGGGAGCUAGCUGGGGAGGCUUGGGCAGGCCUCCUGUCUCCCCAGCCCAGCAGCCAGGGGCUCUGCCAGAGGGGACCCCGGACCCCGAGUCCAGGGGUCAGGUGUCCUGACCUCACAGAUCCGAAUGGAAGCCGGAGCAGAGGGCAGAGCGGGGUCGGGGUUUCCUGAGGGCAGGCUGCUGGCCCGGGCUCCUCCGCAGGCACGAGGCUGGGGACGCCACCCGCCAGGACGACCGCCAGGGGGUGCCCCCGGCACGCGGCAGUCUCCAGUGUCCUUCGCCACCUGAACGCAGGUGGUUUGACUCAGCGCUGCUGGUGUGUGGCUCGUUUUCUCCAGUUGCGGAUCUUUAGACACAACGCGCCGAGCACGGCGGGGACAGGGGCUCGUGAGGAGGAUCCGCAGGGCCGCGGGGGGCUGUCAGGCCCAGGCCCCCCUCCUCCACGCAGCUUCUGCCGGGGGCAAGCGGUGGGCACGGUGCCACGCAUCCCCUUGGCGGCCCGGCAGAGCGCAGCCUGCGACAGGACCUCAGGAGCCCACCCAAGGAGCUGGGUCCCGGCGAGAAGGGUGGCCCAGCUGCCUCUGCGUGCCUGGCGGUGUCCCCUCCGGUGCCCCCACAGGCCCAGCUGCGGGUCCGCGGACCGCGAGGCUACUGGGAUGACCUGAGCGUCGCCGCAGGGCUGGGCGCUGCUCCCAGCAGCAGGGGCUCCUCAGUCCCGGGCUGAGCCGGUGCGGCCCUGCGGUGCCGAGGGCCCAACGCCCCGCUGCGCGCCCUACAGUCCGCUCACGCUCGCCUCACAUCAGCAGAUUAAACCGAAGUAGAGCCGACUUGAACCACAAAGAAUGUUCUUCAUUAAGCACAGAAGAGACGGUGAGGCCCGUUGGCCACCGCCGAGGGAGGCUGUUGCAAAACCACUGCAAUUCACCCGGCAGCUUUUUUUUUUUUUUUUUUUUAAUCUACUUAUUCCUGAGGCCCACGGAGAGAGGAGGAGACCCAGGCGGAGGGAGGAGCAGGCUCCCUGCGGGGACCCUGAUGCGGGACUCGAUCCGGGACCCUGGGUCACACCCUGAGCCGGAAGCAGACGCUCCACCGCUGAGCCCCCGGGUGCCCUCACUGUAAAAAAAUAAAAAAAAAAAUUCUAAUUAUCCA